UUUUUACCGAAUGGCUGAGCCUCCUGGGGAAGUCCUUUAACAUCUCGGGGCCUCUGUACCCAAUCUCAGUACUUGCUGAUCACAGCCCAGCCAAUGCUCA